CUUGCUGUGGAUGUUCAGUUACGCACAUGGGAGACCUCCAGGAUCAUGUAGAAGGGGAGGUGAAGUGAUGAUGUCAGCUUGGGAGAAGAGGAGGGUCCUUCUCGGCGCUCGGGGCUGACUAACCAGCAAACAGCCACCUUGACAGCCCAGCUCCCACGUAGCAGCUCUGAUUCCUUGAUCAUUCCUUUGGAACACCUGAGAAGAAGUCCUAAAAUGACAUCCUUUUCCUUCCUGAGAUCUGGUGUUCCAUUGACAUUUGGGGAGACAAAUUUAGUGAUCUCAGGGUAUCCAAUUUGCUUUUGAAAUGUGGGUUAUACUGGUGAAAGUGGAAGCUGCCUAGAAAGACUCCAGGCAUGAUUGGGAAGAUCCACUGAAAAUCCCAUUCGGAGUGAGUGGCUGCUGCCUCCUUCUCCCUUAUGUAUAUAUAUAUAUAUUUAAAAAUUUUCUCCCUAUUCUAGUUACUCUGAUUACAUUUUUCUCUUCAGAUUCAGAGAAUCUUAGUCCCAUUGUGUUACUUAGGAGAAAGGAGAGGUGAUAUUGGAUGCUUGCUUUUGUGUCUUGGGGAUAAAAUUAAAAACUAAGUGUUGUGCAAGAGAGUGACAGCUGGUCUGCUGCUUUCUUAGUGAACUGACAAGCUUGUUUACUUCCCGAGAGCUUGUCUCUCUGCUCAGCCCAUCAGAAAACAGGUGAGGGCUUCUGCUGCUGUACCUGCGGGAUGCAUGUUCCACGUCAUGGCCUCACAAACACGGC
ensembl:lncRNA